GCAGUCGAGCGGAACGAGUUAUCUGAACCUUCGGGGGACGAUAACGGCGUCGAGCGGCGGACGGGUGAGUAAUGCCUGGGAAAUUGCCCUGAUGUGGGGGAUAACCAUUGGAAACGAUGGCUAAUACCGCAUAAUCUCUUCGGAGUAAAGAGGGGGACCUUCGGGCCUCUCGCGUCAGGAUAUGCCCAGGUGGGAUUAGCUAGUUGGUGAGGUAAUGGCUCACCAAGGCGACGAUCCCUAGCUGGUCUGAGAGGA
rnacentral:rRNA from 1 species